CCUGGCUCAGGAUGAACGCUAGCUACAGGCUUAACACAUGCAAGUCGAGGGGCAGCAUGGUCUUAGCUUGCUAAGGCCGAUGGCGACCGGCGCACGGGUGAGCAACACGUAUCCAACCUGCCGUCUACUCUUGGACAGCCUUCUGAAAGGAAGAUUAAUACAAGAUGGCAUCAUGAGUCCGCAUGUUCACAUGAUUAAAGGUAUUCCGGUAGACGAUGGGGAUGCGUUCCAUUAGAUAGUAGGCGGGGUAACGGCCCACCUAGUCUUCGAUGGAUAGGGGUUCUGAGAGGAAGGUCCCCCACAUUGGAACUGAGACACGGUCCAAACUCCUACGGGAGGCAGCAGUGAGGAAUAUUGGUCAAUGGGCGAGAGCCUGAACCAGCCAAGUAGCGUGAAGGAUGACUGCCCUAUGGGUUGUAAACUUCUUUUAUAAAGGAAUAAAGUCGGGUAUGGAUACCCGUUUGCAUGUACUUUAUGAAUAAGGAUCGGCUAACUCCGUGCCAGCAGCCGCGGUAAUACGGAGGAUCCGAGCGUUAUCCGGAUUUAUUGGGUUUAAAGGGAGCGUAGAUGGAUGUUUAAGUCAGUUGUGAAAGUUUGCGGCUCAACCGUAAAAUUGCAGUUGAUACUGGAUAUCUUGAGUGCAGUUGAGGCAGGCGGAAUUCGUGGUGUAGCGGUGAAAUGCUUAGAUAUCACGAAGAACUCCGAUUGCGAAGGCAGCCUGCUAAGCUGCAACUGACAUUGAGGCUCGAAAGUGUGGGUAUCAAACAGGAUUAGAUACCCUGGUAGUCCACACGGUAAACGAUGAAUACUCGCUGUUUGCGAUAUACUGCAAGCGGCCAAGCGAAAGCGUUAAGUAUUCCACCUGGGGAGUACGCCGGCAACGGUGAAACUCAAAGGAAUUGACGGGGGCCCGCACAAGCGGAGGAACAUGUGGUUUAAUUCGAUGAUACGCGAGGAACCUUACCCGGGCUUAAAUUGCAGAUGAAUUACGGUGAAAGCCGUAAGCCGCAAGGCAUCUGUGAAGGUGCUGCAUGGUUGUCGUCAGCUCGUGCCGUGAGGUGUCGGCUUAAGUGCCAUAACGAGCGCAACCCUUGUUGUCAGUUACUAACAGGUUCCGCUGAGGACUCUGACAAGACUGCCAUCGUAAGAUGUGAGGAAGGUGGGGAUGACGCCAAAUCAGCACGGCCCUUACGUCCGGGGCUACACACGUGUUACAAUGGGGGGUACAGAGGGCCGCUACCACGCGAGUGGAUGCCAAUCCCCAAAACCUCUCUCAGUUCGGACUGGAGUCUGCAACCCGACUCCACGAAGCUGGAUUCGCUAGUAAUCGCGCAUCAGCCACGGCGCGGUGAAUACGUUCCCGGGCCUUGUACACACCGCC
rnacentral:rRNA from 1 species